rnacentral:rRNA from 1 species
UACGUAGGGCGCAAGCGUUGUCCGGAAUUAUUGGGCGUAAAGAGCUCGUAGGCGGCUUGUCACGUCGGGUGUGAAAGCCCGGGGCUUAACCCCGGGUCUGCAUUCGAUACGGGCAGGCUAGAGUGUGGUAGGGGAGAUCGGAAUUCCUGGUGUAGCGGUGAAAUGCGCAGAUAUCAGGAGGAACACCGGUGGCGAAGGCGGAUCUCUGGGCCAUUACUGACGCUGAGGAGCGAAAGCGUGGGGGGCGAACAGG